rnacentral:rRNA from 1 species
GAUGAACGCUGGCGGCGUGCCUAAUACAUGCAAGUCGAACGCUGAAGGAAGGAGCUUGCUCUUUCCGGAUGAGUUGCGAACGGGUGAGUAACGCGUAGGUAACCUGCCUGGUAGCGGGGGAUAACUAUUGGAAACGAUAGCUAAUACCGCAUAACAGUAGAUGUUGCAUGAUAUCUACUUAAAAGGUGCAAUUGCACCACUACCAGAUGGACCUGCGUUGUAUUAGCUAGUUGGUGAGGUAACGGCUCACCAAGGCGACGAUACAUAGCCGACCUGAGAGGGUGAUCGGCCACACUGGGACUGAGACACGGCCCAGACUCCUACGGGAGGCAGCAGUAGGGAAUCUUCGGCAAGGGACGGAAGUCUGACCGAGCAACGCCGCGUGAGUGAAGAAGGUUUUCGGAUCGUAAAGCUCUGUUGUAAGAGAAGAACGAGUGUGAGAGUGGAAAGUUCACACUGUGACGGUAGCUUACCAGAAAGGGACGGCUAACUACGUG